GGGAAUGUCGUCUAGUGGUUAAGACCUUAUCUUUUUAAGUUAAUUACAUAGGUUCAAAUCCUAUCUUUCCUA